GUCCGUGGAGAAGCGCCAGUCGGGCGUCCGCUCAUGUGACCGGAGAACAACCCGACAAACCAGCCGUUUCCUGCAGGACUUGAGAGUGAGAACCCUGUCACACUAAGCAAUCCCAGAUUGUUGCAGAAGAGAGCUCUGAGCUUCCAGGCGGAAAAAGACAGCUCAGCCAACAGCACCAAGGACAUAGAUGUUGGUCUGUUGUCCGGUCUCCCUAAAGGUAACGUUUCUCCCUUUGUCUCAACUUCUAGCUUGUAAAUGUCAACUUUCCCAAGCUUUCUCAGAGUGACUGUUGUGCAACAUCAGCCUCCUGCCAGA
rnacentral:lncRNA from 1 species